AUUGAACGCUGGCGGCAGGCCUAACACAUGCAAGUCGAGCGGAGCGGCGGACGGGGGAGUAAUGCCUAGGAAUGUGCCUGGUAGUGGGGGAUAACGUCCGGAAACGGUCGCUAAUACCGCAUACUAUCAGAUGAGCCUAGGUGGGAUUAGCUAGUUUGUGGGGUAAAGGCCUACCCAGGCGACGAUCCGUAACUGGUCUGAGAGGAGGAUCAGUCCCACCGGAACUGAGACACGGUCCAGACUCCUACGGGAGGCAGGAGGGGGGAAUAUUGGACAAUUGGCGGAAGCCUGAUCCAGCCCAGCCGCGUGGGGUAAAAAGGGUUUCGGAUGGUAAAGGACUUUUAGUUUGGAAGCGUUACCAAAAGAAUAAGCACCGGCUAACUUCGUGCCAGCCGCCGCGGUAAUAC
rnacentral:rRNA from 1 species